rnacentral:rRNA from 1 species
AACCUGUUUUUUAAUCGACAAUCCACGUUAAUUUUCACUUAAAUUAAAAAUUUAUAUACCGCCAUCUAAAAAACUAAUCUUGUGAUAAUAUUUUUAAUAAAAAAAUAAAAAGUUAGGUCAAGGUGUAAUCAACAUUUAAGUUGAAUAUGGGUUACUUUAAAAAUAAUUUAAGGAUUUUUAUAUAAAAAUAUUUAUUUAAAAAGGAUUUAAAAGUAAUAUUAAAAUAAUAUUUCAAUAUGAUUAAGAUAAUAAAUGUGC